rnacentral:piRNA from 1 species
UAAGAUGCCGCUUUCCCUAUAGCUGAGGAAC